rnacentral:rRNA from 1 species
UACAGAGGUCCCAAGCGUUGUCCGGAGUUACUGGGCGUAAAGCGCUUGUAGGCGGUCCACCAAGUUUGGGGUGACAGUUGCCGACUUAAUCGGCAAAGUGCCUCAAAGACUGGCGGACUUGAGGGCCACAGAGGGACAUGGAACUCCAGGUGUAGUGGUGAAAUGCGUAGAUAUCUGGAAGAACACCAAAGGCGAAGGCAGUGUCCUGGGUGGUCGCUGACGCUGAGAGGCGAAAGCCAGGGGAGCGAACGGG